rnacentral:rRNA from 1 species
AGGUAUUUUCGACCUGAACACAUAGGGUUGAAAAGGCAAACCCGGGGAACUGAAACAUCUAAGUACCCGGAGGAAAGGACAGCAAUAGCGACUCCCCCAGUAGCGGCGAGCGAACGGGGACCAGCCGAGCCUUGAGCGUGACUAGAAUGUGCUGGAAAGCACAGCCAUAGCGGGUGACAGCCCCGUAUAGGAAGCGUGAUGGGACGUAUUAAGUAGGGCGGGACACGUGAAAUCCUGUCUGAAGAUCGGAGGACCACCUUCGAAGGCUAAGUACUCCUUACUGACCGAUAGCGAACCAGUACCGUGAGGGAAAGGUGAAAAGCACCCCGACGAGGGGAGUGAAACAGUACCUGAAACCGGACGCCUACAAGCAGUCGGAGCCUCCUCGAGAGGUGACGGCGUACCUUUUGUAUAAUGGGUCAUCGACUUGGUCUCACGAGCAAGCUUAAGCCGAUAGGUGUAGGCGCAGCGAAAGCGAG